ensembl:lncRNA
CGAGAAUGAUUUCAUGCGACGUGGACCAGGAUCAGUCAUGUCGAAUACUAUGCACAUGACCUGACCUGUAUACUGCUGCCUUUAUUGAACUUGAAACCUCAUCACCUGGACUGGAUCCAGCUACAAAAAACUCAGCCUGCAGUAAGGAAGUAGGAAGAAGUGGACUAUGAUUGCUCUGUUCUUUUGGUUUAUUCAUCAACACAACUACACACCAACCUCUCCAGCUGAAUGUGGUUUACUGAUCCAGUACACAUGCAGCUUGUUAUAGAUUUUCUCUGUUCAGUCAGUCUUACAUUAAUAUCUUCAGGGCCCUGCAUAUCUGAG